GUCAGCACUAACUAAUUCCAAGCCUUCUCUAACUAACUCCAAACCUCAUUCCUAGCCUAGCCUAAUUCCAAACCUCAGCUCUAUUUAAGAUAUUCAUAGCUCUCAUUUUCAGGACCUGGGAACCUUGUGUAAAUUUGUGUGAAUUCUCUCUGCAAUCUCUUUCCUCACCCUCACCAAAGCUCUCUCUCUCUCUCUCUCUCUCUCUCUUCCUCUCUAUCUCUCUCUCUCUCUCUCCAAAAGCCAUUGAAGCUUCAAUUUAGCUUGAGCUUAACCACUGCAUUGCUCACCAUUCUCAAUUCAGCAGUAGAAGAAGAAAGAGGAAGAAGGAACGUGCAAAACGAGAUCAAGAAUUCACCUGUUGAAGUUUCUGAUCGUCUUCUCCGGUAUAAACAAGUGCAUCGGAGGGAUAAACAAGCAAACAGGCGUUCUGGGCCCGACAUAGGAAGAAAAAAUGGACUUACAGUAGCCCUGACACGGCCACCCAUGUUGGCUAACACGGGCCGUGUUAGGAGAAGAGGUUGAGAAAUGGAAAACAGGGAGCUAACACGGGUGCCCGUGUCAGCUGACACGGCCCGUGUUAGCCUCCCUGAAGGGCGUGUCAUUGCUGAAGUUUGCCCAGAAGCCAACAUGGCCAGGCGUGUUGCCUGACACGACUAGUGUUGGCUUGGACACUUGAAUUUCCAAUUUUUUGCUAUUUUUGACACGGCUUAUCCAGGAGGGCAUUUUUGACUUUUACACAAGGAAAAUUUUCAUCAGGAACUAUUUACAGUGGAUUUGAAUAUGGAGAGAGGGACUUUUACACGAUAGAGAAUUGGAAACGAUCAAUAUUGAAGAAGUGAUAAGAAGCGAAGAACGAGGAUCCUUCAAGAGCGGACGCGAUUGAAGAUCAAUGGAAUUCCGACCUUUUUGUAAUGUCUCAAUUUUACUUUGUAUCUGAUUUGAAUAAUAUGAUAGGCCAAACCCCCCAAUGCCAGAGGGGUGUCCCUGAAUUGAUUAUGUAAUGACUCUGAUGUUUGAUUUCCCUUAAUAUAUGAUGUUUGAUUUCAAUUUCA